ensembl:lncRNA
CCUGGACAGAUCCGUAUCACAUUCAUGUGCUUCUUAACCUCUACUUUACACCCCCUGGACAGAUCCGUAUCACGUUCAUGUGCUUCUUAACCUCUACUUUACACCCCCUGGACAGAUCCGUAUCACAUUCAUGUGCUUCUUAACCUCUACUUUACACCCCCUGGACAGAUCCGUAUCACAUUCAUGUGCUUCUUAACCUCUACUUUACACACACAUUGUUGUGGUCACCCUCCCUACACAUUUCUCAACGUCAACGGUGGUGUCUCUGUGGUGUGUCUGGUCUGGCUGUGGUCUCUCCCAUGUCUCUGUGGUGUGUCUGGUCUGGCUGUGGUCUCUGUGGUGUGUCUGGUCUGACUGUGGUCUCUGUGGUGUGUCUGGUCUGGCUGUGGUCUCUGUGGUGUGUCUGGUCUGGCUGUGGUCUCUGUGGUGUGUCUGGUCUGGCUGUGGUCUCUCCCAUGUCUCUGUGGUGUGUCUGGUCUGGCUGUGGUCUCUGUGGUGUGUCUGGUCUGACUGUGGUCUCUGUGGUGUGUCUGGUCUGGCUGUGGUCUCUGUGGUGUGUCUGGUCUGGCUGUGGUCUCUGUGGUGUGUCUGGUCUGGCUGUGGUCUCUGUGGUGUGUCUGGUCUGGCUGUGGUCUCUGUGGUGUGUCUGGUCUGACUGUGGUCUCUGUGGUGUGUCUGGUCUGACUGUGGUCUCUGUGGUGUGUCUGGUCUGGCUGUGGUCUCUCUGUCUCUGUGGUGUGUCUGGUCUGACUGUGGUCUCUGUGGUGUGUCUGGUCUGGCUGUGGUCUCUCCCAUGUCUCUGGUGUGUGUCUGUUCAUGGUCCAGCUGAUAUCCCAUGUGCUGACCCCAGGGUGCAGUAUCGUGGCAUUGGUUGCCGUGUGUUUCCAUGUGAACAGCCUGCCUGGCUGGCUUGUCUGUGAAGGGAUGACCAGGACAGAGAGGGAGGAUCUUCUUAACAGCAGUGACCGCUGCCCAGAUCCACAGCCCUAUUUAACCUGCUUGGCUGUCUCCUAUAGCAUCACACACACUGGAUACAACAGGAGGAUACUACAGGAGGAUACUACAGGAGGAUACUACAGGAGGAUCCUACAGGAAGAUACUACAGGAAGAUACAACAGGAGGAUACAACAGGAGGAUACAACAGGAGGAUACAACAGGAGGAUCCUACAGGAGGAUCCUACAGGAAGAUACAACAGGAGGAUCCUACAGGAGGAUCCUACAGGAAGAUACUACAGGAGGAUACUACAGGAGGAUACUACAGGAGGAUCCGACAGGAAGAUACUACAGGAGGAUCCUACAGGAGGAUACUACAGGAGGAUCCUACAGGAAGAUCCUACAGGAAGACACUACAGGAGGGACACUGAGCCUGACACUCUCU